rnacentral:siRNA from 1 species
UACAAUCUGGUACAUGUCGGU